UUUUCUAAGUUCAGCUUUCGGUAUUAUGCCAUUCAAGUACCAGUUUAGCAAAAACAAGAAAAAUCCGCGAAACGAUCCUCCGAUGGAUGUAAGCGUAAUUAAAUUAAUCGUGGCAGUAAUUUUGCUCGUAAUUACCAUAGUUCAUGGCGUUUCGGCUCCUCUGUACGUAUUACAUACCAGCUUACCAGAAACUUAUCGCGAUGGUAUAUUUGCUUUCGAGUCGUUUAUCGAUGGAAAUAUAACUACCGAAGACAUCGACCGAGAAACCAAACAGUCGUUGAUUAUGAAAAUCCUGAAUCCUUUACUGGUUACUUUGAUGAGCGCGAGUGCUCGUAUCGUGGCCAUUUUUUCAUUACGAACCGGUUUAAGACAGUUUUUUUCCGACGUAAAAGAAGCUGAUAAAUUUCUCAGGCAUAUUAAAAAUUACGAAAUCAUGGUGAACACGAGAAGACACCUGAAUUAUAGUAUAGGUCUAUCUGUUUCAUUCGUACUGCUUAGUUUUCCCAUCAAUUGUUUUUAUUUGAUCAAUGUCUCAGCCACCAAUAAUCAAUUUGGUGUGGUAUGGUGUGCUAUCUUGGUUUGGUCCAAUUUGACAGGAUUUUGUAGCGAUAUUUUGUUCGUAUUUUGCGCGUAUCUUAUUCGACUGAGGUUCAGAGUGAUCAACGAAACACUGAGUAAUUUAAUUGAGGAGGAAAAUUAUGCGACGACGUUUCAGUUUUCGACCAAUUUCAAACGUGAUUUUUCCAAAAGAAGAGCUUGGUGUAUUCCAGAAAAUGCCCUUGCGAAUUAUAGCAUCUUUAAGUAUAAGAAUAAUCUCCAAAAAGAUAUAGUAUUCGGAAAUGAUCUUGCUGAUACCAUCGAAGUCUACAGAUACUGCCAUCGUUUACUCUGUGAACUCGUCAGAUAUCUGAAUAAAAUGUACAAGUUGCAUUUACUCAUGACUUUGGCUGCGUGUUUUCUGAAAAGCUUAUUCAAUAUUUAUUUCGCCAUGUUCGGAUAUGUAAUUGGUACUGCGAUGAAGCACGGUUCCAAAAUAUUUUCGGAGCUUUUUUCUACAGUCUGGUGGAAUGUUUACUACUUAGUAAGAUUCUUAAUCGUGACUGGGAUGGCUCAUAUUACCGCAGAACAGGGGAUCAAAACGCGGUACUUGAUUUCAGCCUUGAAUAAUCGGUUUUUGGACGCCAAUACUAAAGAGGAAUUGGCUUUGUUCAUGAAUCAUAUCGCGAAUACCAAGAUUGAAUUCACAGCUUGCGAUUUUUUCACAUUGAAUACUCAUUUAAUAACAUCGGCUAUUGCUGCUGGAACCACUUACUUGGUCAUUCUAGUCCAGUUCCAUUCUGAUAAAGAUGUCUAAUCCUAUAAUCCUGAGAAACUUUCAUCUAUUCAAUACAUGGUUUCGGACAUUUUUUUCUUGGAUCUUGGGUAUUUAUAUGGCAGCAUCAGCCUUUGCAUUGUAUAUUGCAAUAAACGCUUCUAGCUUUCUCGCCAUAUUCUACAGUUUGGAGUUCUUUGUCAGUUUGAGUGCGAGUUUUUUCAUCUUCUGCUUUUUCGGCGAAACAUUUUACGACUUGAACGAUGAAUUGGCGAAUACAAUUUUUUAUGAUACCCAAUGGUACGAGGCAACCGAGGAAAACAGAAGGCUGCUGGUGAUAUUUCAUGCUUUAGCUUGCAGACCUUUCAAUUUGAUGGGAUUUUCGAUUUAUCGAGCCUGCUACGAAACAUUUGGCGACAUGAUGAACUCGACAUGAUAGAUCACCAUCGAAACCGAAUAGCUGUCUUCGAGUCUUCUCCACGAUUUCAACAUUCGCAAUGAUUAUUACCUCCAAGCUGAGCUCGAUUAAUAAAGAUUUUUUUCAGCAUAUUGGUACCUUAGAAUAAGUCACGUUAGUUUAUUGUUUUGUGUUUUCUAUAUAUAAACACGCAUCUAUUCGAAGCGAUAACAUGGC